GAUAACGAUAACGAUGCAAGGAUGUUGCCGUGUGCGUCUGAGAAACGACGACGAGUUUUUUUUUUUCCCCCGCGGACACGCGGACUCUCUCCUCCGCUUUGGCUAGAGACGUUCGGCUCGGCUCGGCUCGGCCUGGGCUCGCCCCGCCGAAAGGGGGAGCGCAGUGAACCCCUGGCUGGCGGGCUGGCGUCGCGACGCUGCGCGGCGCCGAUGGUUCCUGGUCGAUAGACGCGUCGGACGGUUUUCCCUCCGGUUUCCACGGUUGCAGUUCGUGGAGUAGACCAGAAGAUGGUGUUGCCGGGAAUACACAGUGGGCGGGCCCACGAAGACCUUGAGACGCCACAUCGAACGCACCGUCGACGUCGACGAUGCCGUCGACGAUGACGUCGGCGUGAAGGCCCCGACGCCGCGGAAAGGGCAUCGAUUUUCCGCGCGAUUACCGACUGUCGAGCGCGCUCCGUUUCGCGGAGCACAAGAAAAUGGAAACGAACGCGGAAUUCGCGCCUUGAAUUUUAAACCGAAUUUAUUAAUUACAUGGGUAUCGAAUAAUUAAACGCGCGAGGAUGAAAUAUCUCAAUCCAUAAGAUUGAACAGAAAACCGAGAGAGAGAAGAAUAAGAUAAUUUUAUUUAAUUGAUCUUAACAAGCUCUAAUGGAAAAAUAUUAUCUUUAGUUUGAAGAAGACGGUUCGAAGAAUACAUAGACUGUCCAUUAAGAUCUCGGGUGAAGAUCCGCCCUCUCAGAAAGGAUUUCUGAUACAUGACUAAGAGACAAAAAUUAUUCUUGACAUAUUUAAUCUUAUUACAACUUCGUGUAGCAUGAAAAUAAAACCAGAUUAAGAUUAAAUCAGAAAUGUUUAUCUUCAGAUCGGUUUAUUCUUAAAUCUACAAUAUCAUAAGAUUGUCAUAAAUUUACUAAAUCAUUGUAAGAAAAUUAAUAAGAUAGCAUCAAAAGUCAUUCUAGAUUUACGAAUUUUUAGAAAUUAAGAAUAUCGAUUCUAUUUUAUGAUAGAUGGAAGAGUAAUAGCGUUAGGUUUAGAAAUCUUAUCUGUGGGUGCGAAGAGCAGUUAAACGCAAUCCGACCUUCCGGAUGUGUAUUCGUAUGGUAUUCGCGAAGCGACCGCGGCGGUCUCGAAGCCCGUGGGAUUGCCAAGAGAUCACAUGACAGACUUCGAUUAAUCGAAUAUUCGACCUGUAGCGCGCCUCGCCAGACGGAUGUUUUCUCGCGCGAACGGGCGAAGCCCGUCGAUUUAUGUGCAUUUCUCUCGGAUUCCCAUCCCACGACCGCGGGCGAUGGAUAACGCAAACGAAGCGUUACACGCUCGAUCUUACGAGUUUCUCCUUCUCUCUUUCUCCUGGCCUAAUCUUCACCGACAACUUCCGACGAAACCUAAUCAACGAAAAGUUUUUCAAUCCGCAGAACCGCUCGAGCGAGGCCGCGUUACGGAUUACAAGGCGAGGAAUUGAACAGGUAAACUCUCGGGACAACUGGCAUCGAGCUAAAUCAAUAUUCCCGUUCUCCACCGAAUGCUACGAGCUGUAACGACUUGAUACGUAUCUCCGUGAUCGGCAAUUACGCGGGCUAUUAUACCAGUUUCAUUAAAUUAUAAAAUGCAAGUGAUAUGACGUAUUCGAUAUUGAAUUUUCAUUGGAAAGAUAUGAAAGAGUAUAUAAAAGAUGAUCUGCGUAGAUUGGUCGGUAAUCGAAUGAUGAAUCGCGAAGAAUUAUUUUAUUUGAUUUUAUUUGAAGAGGAAAAUUAAUGCAUGCAUUAAUUUUCUGCAUUCUACAGAAGCGUACUUAUGUUAUGUAAAAAAAUAAUACAUAUUAUUGCGAUAUGCAGCACAUAAAUUUCCACUAAUUUACACAUAAUAAAAAGACGUGAAAAAAAAAACUGAAGAUUUCUCAGCUUAUAUUACGUCCGAAAACAUUUUUCGCUCUGUUUCGAUCGUUUUAAAGUGUUUAUCCCUUUAUUCUGCUGAGGUUGAACCGCAAGUGCAGGUUCCAGGAAAUCCGCCGGCAUUCCCGAAGGGUGAAUCCGAUGUUUGACACGAAACCAGACAGGCGCUAGCGGAGCACGAAGAAGCUGGUCGAGCUCGUUGGAAUCGCGGCAGGAUUAAACGGGUAAAUUACGGGGUUUGCGGCGGACCACGAAAAGAAGAGGAGGCGGAUGAGAAGGAGAAAGAGGGAGAGAGAGAAAAAAAGGAGGUUUGAACGGCGAAAAUAAAGAAGGUGGAGGAUAAGACGUCUCCCAGCAAAUUCCACGGGCAUACGCGGGGAACACGGGGCCCCGGCGAAUUUACGGCAUCCCCAGAAUCCCGAUGUAAUUAUCCCCAUUCCAAAAUCCUCGAACGCGUGUCUCCGCGCGCACACCUCGAGCGGUGCGAUGUGCGAGAGCUCGUGGAUAAAUUUUCUUAAGUAAGACCCAACAACCGCCUGGCCUCUUUUCUCCUCUUUGCCGAACGAGAGAGGUGAACCUUUCGAGUGAACCGAACUCCAAAAAAUACACUCGAUGUAUUCUCGCGGGAGACUAAUUUCAAUUCGUAAACAUUCGUGAAGUAAAGCCGCGUGUUAUUUCUUCGAUGGGAGAGAAGGGAAUCUUUACAUAAAAUUCUCCAAUUAGCCUUCAGUUAGGGAUUUCCGUGGAAUUUAAGACUCUCUCUCUCUCUCUCUCUCUCUCUCUCUCUCUCUCUCUCUCUCUCUCUUCCUCUCUCUCUCUCUCCCUCUCCCCGUCUCUCCCCAUCUCUCCCGGUCUCUCCCCGUCUCUCCCGGUCUCUCCCGUCUCUCCCGGUCUCUCCCGGUCUCUCACGGUCUCUACUGGUAGAUAUGGGAGAAACGCAAUUGAAUAAAUUGCAAGUAGCACAGAAUCGGGCUAUGCGAGUAAUAUUACAAUGUAAUAGAUACACCAAAAUAGAAUAUAUGUUACAAGCGUUGCAAUUUAUGUCUAUAAAACAGAGACUACACUAUAAUGUAUGUAUAUUUAUAUUUAAGAUUUUACAUAACUUGGCGCCAAAUUACUUAAGGAAUAGACUAGAAGUAAUUAGUAAUGAAAAUGGAAGAAAAACAAGACAGGAAGGGACUAUCGCAAUAAAAUUCGUUAGAACUAAAAGUGUGCAAAAAAGCGUGUGUUACGAGGGAGUAAAAUUAUAUAAUAUCUUGCCAGCAGAAAUUAGAAGUUGUGAAAGAAUUGAUGUAUUUAAACGGAUGUUAAAGCAUGUAUGUAAAUCUAUGUAAAACAUAAUAGCUGAGAAAGCUAAAUAAACUUUAAUCAAUCUCUCUCUCUCUCUCUGGAAGUGCAACCGCGUCCCCGUUUUUUGUUUAACAAAAGGGGAAAUCACAGCGUUCCGCGUUGUAACUGAAUAUACUCGUGACGCGUCGUAGUUGCGUCUUGAGGGAAAAAGCGCGAGGAUAAUCCCGACUCCCGCGCGAGAUCGCGUGCGGAUUAUCCGGAUAUCAGACGCGGAAAUGCGCCGGAGCCGUGAAUUAACGUCGCGCGAAUUAGGGACGCCGGUGUAUUGCGUUGGCUAUACGGGACACGUGUUCGCGUCGCGAAUCAGAGGUUCCCAAAUCCAGGCAGGAUAAUAUUUUUCGAGAUCAGGAUAUUUUAUUGAAAACACAAAAAAAAAACCGCGCAAUAACAAAUUAAAAUAUUAUUAAAUACUAAAUUAUCAACAAGCAAUGUCUUAUAUCCGAAGAGAUAAAAAAGAAAGUUAUUUAAAUUUCGAAAUUCAUCAUUCUCAGAAAACUCUUCGAUGAAUAUAAAAUCUACAUCGUAUAAUUAAUCAGUUCGGUUCAAAUAAUACAAUGAAUACAAUUACUUAACGUAUAAUCGCUCUUAUUAAUAAGUGACCUGUCAAUUUGUACAUACAUGUUACAAAGUUUAAUUAUGGAUACAAUAGGGAUCCUCAGGUAUACGGUCAACUAAUUUAAAGUUUGGGAACCUCUGCCAUGUGUGAUGGAACCGGUAGCCUUUGCCGAGUACACUUGAGCGAUGGAGAAACAUGAGAACGCGUCGCUAUUUCCAUAAUGUAAAGGUUCGUCCGUUAACCGCUGUUAACCCUUGCCUGGCAGGAGCAUGCGUGAAAUUGCACUCGUAGUUUCUUUCUAGGACUCCAGAUACCGGUUUCCAGAAGGAAGACCAGCGCGACCGCGUUUUGAUACGCAUUUCGUCGGCAGAGCAAUUGAUUAUGCUGUUACCUUUACAUCGCUGUUACUCACGGGGCAGGGGAGGGGGGGCGUAAAGUUAUAUCAGGCGUGAAGUUCAACAACUUACAGAAUGUAAUAAGCGAAAAACAUGAGCGUUAAAAUAUUUGUGAGCAAUCGGUGCGCAUCGCGAGCGUACUUGUAAAUCUGAAAUAUUAUAAGCCUUGUAAAUUGCAACAUUUCUCAUAGGCAUCUUACAACCGUUCUUACAAAAAAAAAAGCUGAAACUGAAGGUAAUAGAAUAUUCAAAUAAAUUCGACUAAAAAUUAGAAAUUGAAAUAAAUCAUAUACCGUUCUAGGUAUAUACGCGAAUAGAUAUACGGGAAACGUUCAUUAUUACCUGCAUAAAUAUCACCAUAAAUUUCGAGCCUUUUAAAAAUUAUUCUAUACGUACCAGCGAACACACGUACAAAUCGCCUAUCGUUAAUAAUCCGCCGGUCGUUAAUAAUUUGAAAAGUGCCACGGACAAUGAGAGUGGCGAGCUCGCUAAGAACUCGGGUUCUAAUCUAUCGAGAGCAGCGGUCGGCGAGCCAGCCGUUCGGUUAUGAGAUCGUUGUCGCCCGUAAAUCGUCAUCAUGUUCGCGCGAACCCGCUACUGCGUUUCGCCAACGCCAGGUUUUCCCGAUCGCGGCGCGAUACUUUCGCGAUAGGAUAUCUCGAUUACGGUCAUUGGCUAUGAUUUAUCGCGACUCGCCUCGGAUCCGCGUAGACGACGACGGAGAGUAAACGUAAAGGUGGAGCUCGUGUGAAACUCUGCUCCUGUCGCGGUCAAGGCGCAGAACAAAUCACUCCGGAAAAGGACGUUUGCAUCUUGAUACGCCGGGCGCAGCUGGUGCAACACGCACGGUGACAGAGGACGCGGGAUUUCUCCUUUUCACGGUUAACGAUGCGAAGUCGGUUAAUGAUGGCGAUAUUAACAAGUGGACCUCAACAAAUUGGCAUUCGCGCAUAUUACGAAGUCAAUUUUAUCGGUCUCCAUAUAUCUUGUGAGUACAUUGAAAUACGAGCGAUAAUACAAAUACAAUUUAUAUUGAAAUUAAAUCCAUGAGAUAUAUACUGUAUGAAUUUAAAUUCAUGAAUUCAAAUUAGAAUGGAUAGAAAGAUAUUUUAAAUUUUUCUCACCUUACUUCGCCGUGGUAUAAAUUUUCAUAUAUUUUUUGGGAUUAAUUAAGGCUCUAAAAGAUAAACCGCAAGUUAGAAAGCUUAUUGAGAAGUGCACAGAAUUGCAAAAGCAAAAGAGCUUUUCUCAUAUUUUACUCAAAGAAGAACAAUUGCAUUUCUCAUAUUUGUGUCUUGAAAUAGGUGAACUGGUAGGCUUAAUGUAGAAGCGAGAAUAUGUGGUUCGUAUCGAGUUACUGUACCGACUCGAAACGGAUAUUGGGAACGAACAUCACGGAAAAGCAUAACGUCGGGACAGACUUAGCUAUUUUAGCUUGGACUUUCCAGAACAGUCCAUCAGAGCUGCAUUCCGCUCGAGGAAGGGCAAGUUCAAGGCGAGCAACGGAAACGGAAAUACACUGUUAGGCGCCAGGAAAGGCGAGAAACCGACAUUGCGAAAGGAGGAGCGAGAAAAUCAAACGCAUUUCGUUGCACGAUAUUACGAUAUGUAAUACUGUAGUUAGCUGGGUAUAAUUGUGAGUUUUAGUGCCGAUCAAUAAUGGUAAACGCGUUUGUAUGUUCGGGCACGAAACGGACAAGGUUCAAUGAUAUCAGAUUGAGACCGUGAAGGACCGUUAUCAGACCAAAUGUACAAAAAGUAUAAUUUAUAAUGUCAAAAUAACAAAGAGUAAAUACAGAUCUGGUUUUAUAUUUGCCAAAAUCGAUAUAGGAAGUAGUAGAGAAAGUCUAGAAUAUUAUUAGAAAAUAUUAUCUAAUAGAUUAAAAUAUUAUUUAAUAUUAUUGAUUAUCUGCGAGAAAAGGAGUGAAAAAAAAAAGAAAUGUCAAAAGAGCAAUUGGUAAAUUUAUCCGUGUAUCGACGAAUCGUCGUAAAAAGCAACAUGCCAUACGAUGCUGGCCUGCGAAGCUGCAUCGUGCGAUCUUUUAAUAUUAACCGAGAGGCGAUAACCAUACGUUACAUUCACGGAUAUGCGUUUCAUAAAGGUCAUGCGAGGCAAGGAGGCUCCAUUUAGCCGUCGAAUUGCGAAUUCCACGCGUCUCGAUAUUAAUUCGCCGAUCGUUUUAAAUACCAAAGGACGGACGAGACGUCGCGAUUAAAUCUCCAUGCGUACAAUUCGCCUUUGCGGCAAAUUUCAAGAAUUUACGAGUCUUAAAUCAGACUUGAAUAAAUUGAAGGUACACCCGUCAAGUAUUUCAAUAAGACAAAAUCGGCUUCAAAUUGAUUGAGAAACGUGCGGCCAAAUUGAUAGCGGAUUCGCGUACGUUUCGUGUACGGUUAACGGGCGCAGUCAAUAAAUUUCAUACAAAACAACAAUUUAGAACUCAUUACAAUUUGUAGGACGCACUUACGAGCCGGUAUAAAAGCCGGUGCUAAAAAUGACGACACGCAACAGUUGUCAAUUAGAAGCGGGAGAUGCACGCGAGGCAUAAAAUGGCAACGAAAAUUGCAGCAUGUGCAGCGAGGAAGAAACGCGGUCGAAGGUGCAUCAAUAUAACGGUACGUUCAUGUUGAUAAGCGACAGGUAUGUUCCCUUAAUGGACUCGUUUGCGCGAGAAAGUUAAGGUUUGUCAGCAUGCAACAACGCGCGGCGAAUUGUCUCUCGAGCUCUACCGCUCUCGUAAAAGCCACGACGAAAACCGACUCCGGUAGUCGUCAUCAUCGUGUUGCUCCCCCCCCCCCCCCAGUUCAUAAAUGAGUCGUUUUCAUGUCCCCGUAGGGUUAACGCACCGCCGAGCUCCAUCGAUCCUGGCGAACGAACCAGCACCUGCGAGAGCGCGUGGCCAGUUUACGAUUGAGCGCGUGUGUCCGCCUCGGCGGAUUGAGCGAGGAAAAUCGAUAAUUACGGCCGUCGAGCAAAAUUAAUACGAGGCAGGUGACCUCGGUAGGAAUUUUCGCAUCCUCUAGCGCGCAAACGCAACGGCGGAAACGGACCUCCGUGGAAAAUGGAUAAUUAGGUGCAACGCGACCGGUGAACUUGUCGGAGGGAAAAUACACACCAACUGUCAUUCUCGGGUUUCUUUUAAUCGCGAUACGAUACGUGGUGGCGAGUGUGGCGAAUGGAUAAUUACAUACGACACAAUGCGUUCGCGAGGAGAGAAAAGAGAUAUCUCGGCGUUGAAUCGAUAAGAGAGAUAUAGAAAAAAAAAAAGAUUCAAUCGCUCAGACGGAGAAACCUUACUUUCAUCCGGCAGAUACGUUUAAAUCGCGUGCGGAGAUAUUGGCAGUGACAGAUACCUGUUAGGCGUGCGAAAUCGAUAAUCACGACGCACAGAGUGUAUCCAUUAAAAUCGACACUUUAUAAUAUUUCAUUAUUAAUCAAUAAUACUUUUACGGGCAAGGGAAUAUGUAUAUAAUGAACGGCGCGUGCGCCAGAUUAAAUUUCACGUUACCCAAGCUUCCGCACAAACACGUUCGGCGUGUAAUUAAUCCGCAGGCAUGCGCAGUAAUCGGAGACACUUAAGCGUAACGAAUCGGUAACUCGGAGACGUAAUAGCGAAGUUCCGCGGAGUUUUGCCGGGUAUCGUUAUCAAUCUUAUUCUUUGCCUUCGUACGGCGAUAUCUUUAUGUUUUACGGUACUCGAGGUCGUCGAAUAACUCGCGCGUUAUUACACCGCCUCGCGGAGGAAAAGCCCAAGCUGUACAGACAGCUUAGCGGUUUCGCUCCCUGACUGUCGUUCUGAUGAAUGAGACUUAGGUGUUGCUCAAAACGCGAGGUAUCACUCAUUAGAGACUCUGCGAUUCACCGCAACGACGGUGGAAUAUUUCAAUGUCGUCCCCCUUUCUUCAUUAUCGCACGUAAUGAAAAUAACCGUAAAGCGCAUGAAAUUGCACAAAUGCGUACUAUGUAUACCGCGAAUAUCUCUUCUUAAUCUUCGCGGGAUCGAGUAACGAGGAAGCUUUGAACUUUCUUAGAAGACCGUGCGAGCUCGGAGUUGCGCCGAGUGACGCGCGGCGUGUUGAAAUAUACGAGGCAACCGAAUCCCGGAAGUGCGAAGAUUGCGCAUACCGUCUCGGAGACAAUAAAAGACCGACGUGCGCAAAGUAAUAACGUGCGCAAGAUUAACGUUGUAUCGUUUAGAUCAUAUCGAAACAGGAUUGCCGUUUCGAGAAGCUCGCGUUUCCAACUGUCGCGUGUUUAUCCUCCGAAAUCAACAGCUUCAUCCGCGUUGUGAAAGCAGCGUUAGAUGGAAAAUCUUUCCGAUCACGGAACUCAAUUUUCUCCCGACCGAGAGAGUUCCAUCCUUCAAAUAUUUUUAUAUUUUGUAUUAUUCUUACAGGAUCAAACCAAUUUGAUGAGUUGUAAAAGCGAUUUCCCAAGAGUACAGAUUAAAUCUCAUCUUAACUUUAAUUUAUGUUCGUGAUGAUAGUAAUCUCGAAAAUGUUGGAAAUUGUUUUUGCAGAAGCCACGAUGAAGCCAUGAUUUGCCCAUUCGGCCUGACUGACUGGCGGAAGAGAGACGGGUUCACGAGAGGCCUUCACCUUAACCUCGAAGAGCGCCGACCGUCCUAGCAAAGGUGAACAAGAUGCGGACGAACGGGGUUGCCUCUAACAACGUGAGUGGUCCGCCCGGUCCCACAGUGAACAUAAUACACGAUUUCCACGGUUAUGUAAGUCCGAGCGUUUCGUUGCGGACACGUCAUGCGUCGUCGGUAGUCUCAUCGGCAUUUCAUCCGCUCAUAUGAUGCCGAGACACGUCGGUGCGUAACAAUAUUAAGCAUAGAAUCGCAUUCCAAGCGUGUAGUGCGACCCGCUCUUAUUUCAUUUUAGCUAGAAACGUUACGCAUUAGUGCAUUUAAGAUUAUUUUCCAAUGGAUAAAACGAUGUUUGUUCUCUCUACCUACAUUCGAUGAUCUCAUUUCUUUAUCUCUAAAACUGCGAUAGCUUGUGAUUAUUUUUUUUUUUUACUUCUUAGAAUAAAUGCAGCCUCAAGACUCGAUAUUUUAAAGACAAGUCUUUUCUGCGCGAUUAAGUUUGAUACACACAUUCAUUACUUAUCUAUUAAUAGGAUUAAUUGCGUGAUAAAAGAAAAAACUACAACAUGAUCCAGUUUCUAACGGACAUUAAUCACGAAGAUGAUUCACGGGUCACUUGGCGCGAUCUCCAUUAAAGUAGUCUCCAUUAAAACGACCGUGCAAACGGUCGUCACACUUUCUGAGCACACACCUUUCGCGCCGAUAACAAGUUCGUUUUAUUUCCGAAAACUUGAGCUUUACGGUAUAAUUAGUCAUGCGAAUUUAGCGUACGUAAUUACACUCACCCGCGAACCGGACAAACAAGCCGAAAGCGAACUUAAUCGUAUAUAUGUAGUAAUUAAUUAUACAGGCAUGUCAGGAUUGCUCAGUUCGUAAUGACACCUUUGUUGCUUACACACAAGCCACACAAUAUGCCAAGAAAAAGUUUUUGACUAAAUUAUUCAACUUGUUUAAAUUUCUUUAGUUCAAGCAUUUAUCUUAUAUAUUUCAGUUAAAUCUAUAUAAAUAGUUGAAGAAAUUUAAUUAAGUUGAAAAAUUUAGUCAAAUUAACAGCGUUUUCUGUAGGUCUUAAACUCGAAAAUAUGCAAAAUUGUUUAAAAAAGCAAGGAAAUAUUCAAAGUAGAUGAAACUUUCAUAUUUCACGACCUAAAAAAUCUCGAAAGUUUCUAGCACAAUUAAUCUCCUUUCAUAAAGCUCGUGUUUUUUUUUAUGAUGCUCAACUGCGAUUGGAGCCCACGAUUACGACGAUUUAUUUGACGAAAAUCUCGCUGUUUACGAGCGAAAUCACUUCGCGUCACCCAUUGUUUCCACGUGAUAUUAUCAAUUACCGAGAGCACGUGUUCGCGCUAAUGACGACCGAGACGAGUAAGAAGGAACGACGUGACGCAUCACGCCUUUCCAUGGCAAAUUGCGUUUCGACUUGCAUCUUUUCUCGCUAUUGUAUGCAUCCUCCCACGAGACGCAAGUGCAACCAAGCCGAACGCGACGGUGCGACGCGGCAUUAUCCUCUACGUGUGCCCGCGCGAAUGACACCUUUGCGUCAGAUCUUCACUUUUAUGUUACGCAAUAGAUGUUAUCUCCCAUUAGAAAUCUUUCUAACGACCAUAUUGGCGAAGCAAUAAAUCUCCACGGUGUAAAUUCGACGGUAUAGUCUCUGUCUCGACCCUCCAAAAAAACGACGUCGUUUCGGCACAUCCUCUCCGCGUUAAUUGUUCCCGCUGGAGCACGCAACGGUCAAUUUUCGCAACUAGCGGCGAGAAGGAGGCCAGAAGUACCGCGAAGGCAGUCACACCCAGCUGGACUAAAGUGACGUUAAGUGAGACUUCGCAUUUAACAUCAUUGGCCUCCGCGCGUCAGCGCGUUGGCCGCGCCGGAUAACAUGCUCGUUCCGGCCGCACCGUACGAGCUCACCGUCUGCCGUGUUUAUGUAAUCGCGUAAUGAGACGUGGGCGAGGUCGUCUAUUUCGUUCUUUCCCAUUUGCGUUUCUGAAAUUCGAUACGCGAGUCUGGAAGAAUCUACCGGGAGACCAAAGAAAAAUCCUAAAGACAAGUUAUACGUGACGUGCUUUGACAUUACAGAUAUUGGAAUUUUUUAACUUUUUUUUUUUUUUUUUUUUAGAAAUUUGCAGUAAAAAUCUUGAGUUUAUAAUGUAGAUGCAAUUUUUCAAAAUGGUCCUUACAAAUUACAAAUUGGAUCUACUAUUUGCGAACUUUUCAUAUGUUUCAGUAUUAAAAUUCUAUUGUAUUCUAAAUUCAAACGUCGUAAUCCUGCAGUUAUCGUCGUUCACCGGCCAGUCCGUUUGUCUCAAUACCGAUGGACAAUGGGUCACGAAGCGAACAAUCGCGCAGCUCGACGAAAGUCGACAAGGGUGAACGACCGUGGCGAACAAUCCGCGCUCGUGUACAAAACGUUCCGGGCGAUUUCCUCAUUUGUCGGCGUUUGAUUCGCUAUGACGAUUGCACAAGGGUCCGGCGAGGAGAGAACCUCGAGGCGAGACGGGAGAUACGUAGGUGGUUUUCGAAUGAAAGAGGGUCCGCUGGUUUCGCAAAUGAAGAGGCUUCCUUUGUCACGAUCUGCACCGAGUAUCUGUCUUCUUAAAAAAAAAAGAGGCAUUCUUUUGUCGUUUAAGCAAAACCUUAUUCUCGAACAAUCGCGAGCGUAAAAUAUUCCUCUCAGAAAAUAAGGAGGCAAAUGUCUCGUCAACGUUUUCUCGAAUAAUUCUUAACUAAAAGAAAUAUAUAUAUAAAAACAUUUUUCCAGUUAUAAUUUCGUUGACUUUUUACAAUUAGCUACGUGAUAUAUCUGCGCCACGUGUUACAUAUUGACAAAUGUGUAUCCUUUGGAAUUAUCUCGCUAACAAUUAGAGUUAUGUCCGACGAUUUAUCUUCCACUAGCAUCUCUCGCCAGAAACGAAUUACCGCGAGCACAUUCCGCGAUCGUUUAUCAUGCCGCUAAGAAAUCUGUCGACCAAGCCUAGGUGUAUCAGUUUCCAUUGGAGCAGCGCCGGGCUGCCCUACGUGAACUCCACUUUCGUGAAAUUAUGCCGCGCCCAAUAUGUCGGAAAUGAAACCAUGUUAUCUAUCAUUGUUUGAUAAAAAUGUCAAUCUAUUGCAAAAACCGAAUUCACAUCAGAAAUAUUAUUCCCUCGAAGACACUGCUAAAUUCGGAACUCUAAUCUAAAGAAUUUAUUAUUCGAAUGCCCUAUUUUGUUUUAUUUCUGCAGUUUCUCAUUUUUAGCUCUUCGAUAAUUGGAAACGAAAAGUCAAAUUUUUUAAUUUUAAUAAAACCGUAAAAUUGGAAUGGAACACAAAAACUUUAGAAAUUACUAAAUUUUACAUUUUCGAUCAACGUGAACAAAUUAUGUCAACGCGAACUAAAAAUCCAUAUUCGCGCGGAAAAUAAUUCCUUAAUAAAAUUUCCUCGAUAAAGAUUUUAUUAUCUACUUUUACAUUUUAAAGCUCGACGGAGGGCCAUUUAAUUUUCAAUCGCUUGCAGCUCAGAAGCUAUUCUCGUCUCGAUAUUGAAGUUAGCGGCGUUAUUUCUAAUUCAGCCUUUAGUGCCCCUGCUAAUCGAGAAAAAAAAAAUACAUAUAGAAUAUCCCGCGGAGUACCGCGCGGCCGCGGGAGCGAUUAAAAAGUGCGCGCGAGUCAACGAACGAACUUGGAAUGCAAUUAAAGGAAAUUUAACGAGCUUCUUAUCGUUAUCCAGAGUUGCCGUUCAGAAAAUUAGUCGGACACGCUCAAGGAAGCUCAUCGUUUCCGCGAGGGCUUAAUCUCUUCCUGCCACGAAAUCGAAGAAUUCGCCACGGCGAUCUCGCCGUUCCCUCCUCUCAUUCGUACAUAACCGUUCCGCUCACGUUUGCGUUUGUACACGGCGCGAACGCCGUUGAAUUUAUGAAUUACGCGCGAGAUGGAAGUCAUUAGGGAAUUAAACGUUCGACUCGCGGAUAUUAACAAGAAGAGAAACGAUGAUGUUACGCAUAAAAUACCGUGGGGCAAGAGAACGCACCGGGAAAUCGCCACCAACGUCGCAAUGCUUUAUACUAUACAUACAUUUAACAUCACGUAGGGUAACUUCGAUGUAUAUGCCACACCUAAAAAGGCUAACUUAAUUUAUCAGACAUUAUUUAUUAUGUGUAAUAAAGACUUUAUGUCGUCUCCUAUACUACAUAAAUAAAUUAAAGAAUGAAAUGUUUAUUUUAUAUUUAACCCGUUGGAAAUCCUUACAUUUUUGUCGUGUAUCCAACGAGAUAUAUGGAUAAUCAAUCAAGCUGAACAAAGAAUAUAAAGGUUCAGCAUUUUGGUAUAUUUCAUCCUCUACACUUAAGUAUCACAAAAUAAUCACUAAGCCUUUUGCAUAUUCUCAGAAAGAGUAAUCAUUUUUAAUAUGUUGCUCACAAGAUCAAUAAAUUGAUUCAAUUUAUUGCGGUUAUUCAUUAAUACUAACAAUAAAAAAUUGAAAUCCAUAUAACCCUUAAACUAACGUGGUGAAGGUCGGUAACAGAGUGCGAGCAAAUUACUCCUUCACUCCUUUUAUUUUUUCUGACCUCUGCGGCGCGAGUAGCGAAGUUACCCUACAUUCGAUGAAAAAUGAUAACAUAUUCGUGCCCAAGCGCGCGCGAGCGAAAGACGUUUGAAAAAAAAA